GUUUGCACUCAUCGGGGAAGGGUGAGAACCUUCGACUAAGGUUCGAUUCGAGCGAAAGCGAGAGAACGUUGCCACAGGCAACGGCCCGAAGGGAGAGGAGCGAAGCGCCGAAUAAUCCUUCCCCCACCACCA
rnacentral:sRNA from 1 species